rnacentral:lncRNA from 1 species
GAGGAGCAGCAAUGGUAUCGGAUAUUUGGUGCCUUGCACUGUACCUGUUUACCGCUACCUAGGCUGUCAGCGACAACACAAACCGACGUAAUCAGAGUACCGUACCGGCCAAAGUGCGGUGCGAGUACGUCCUUGCCGCAUCAAGUCGGGAACUUUGGUGUCGCUAGCUUGGCUUGUGAAACGCUCCAGAAAGUGACCCAUCCGCGGAGCCGUUUCUCAAUAACAUCGCAAAAUAAACAAUUUGAACCCAGUUUCCGUCGUGGUUCAUAUCCUUCGUGUCUUUCGGUCGUCCUGUUUUGGUCAUUCUGUACCUUAUGUGAGCAAAGGACUUAACAAGAAAGCCUUUGAGCACAUCCGAUGAAUGCCG